GAUGAACGCUGGCGGCGUGCCUAACACGUGCAAGUCGAGCGAUAUGCUCUUGACGGAUCCUUCGGGUGACGGAUAGAGCGGAAAGCGGCGGACGGGUGAGUAACGCGUAGGCAACCUGCCCUUCACAGAGGGAUAGCCUCGGGAAACCGGGAUUAAAACCUCAUAAUGCCAUUGAAAGACAUCUUCCGAUGGCCAAAGAUUUAUCGGUGAAGGAUGGGCCUGCGUCUGAUUAGCUAGUUGGUGGGGGAACGGCUCACCAAGGCAACGAUCAGUAGCCGACCUGAGAGGGUGACCAGGCACAUUGGAACUGAGACACGGUCCAAACGCCUACGGGAGGCAGCGGUGGGGAAUAUUGCACAAUGGGGGAAACCCUGAUGCAGCAACGCCGCGUGAAGGAAGAAGGCCUUCGGGUCGUAAACUUCUGUCCUUGGGGAAGAAACAAAUGACGGUACCCUUGGAGGAAGCCCCGGCUAACUACGUGCCAGCCGCCCGCCGUAAGAC
rnacentral:rRNA from 1 species